GUGUGCCUGGCUCCCUGUAUGCCACACAUGUAGCCAACCCGUGGCGUGAUUGGAUGCUGUGGGUGGCGUGCAAGGAGCCAAGCAUGC
rnacentral:pre_miRNA from 1 species